GUAGGUGGCAAGCGUUGUCCGGAAUUAUUGGGCGUAAAGCGCGCGCAGGGCGGUCCUUUAAGUCUGAUGUAAAAGCCCACGGGCUCAACCGUGGAGGGUCAUUGGAAACUGGGGGACUUGAGUACAGAAGAGGAAAGCGGAAUUCCAAGUGUAGCGGUGAAAUGCGUAGAGAUUUGGAGGAACACCAGUGGCGAAGGCGGCUUUCUGGUCUGUAACUGACGCUGAGGCGCGAAAGCGUGGGGAGCAAACAGGAUUAGAUACCCUGGUAGUCCACGCCGUAAACGAUGAGUGCUAAGUGUUAGGGGGUUUCCGCCCCUUAGUGCUGCAGCUAACGCAUUAAGCACUCCGCCUGGGGAGUACGGCCGCAAAGGCUG
rnacentral:rRNA from 1 species